UCCUCCCACCCCGAGCGCAGCCGGGUCGCUCCGGCCCAACCAAUCCGUCCCCUCCUGUCCCAGCACCCCGCUUUAACCAGGGAAGCCACCCCAACCCAUGCCACAUUCUGCUGCCACAGACCACUAUAAUGGUCAAGAGUGAACCCUGGAGCCAGGUGGCCUGGUUCAUCUCAGCUCUACUCCUUGUUCACAGUUUCCAGAGCUAGAAGUCUGAAAUCAUGGUGUCUGCAGAGCCGUGCUCCCUCUGAAGGCCCUAGGGAAGAAGUCCUCCUGGUGGUGCUUGGCAUGACUUGGCUUGUAGCUGCAUCGCUCCCAACUCUGCCUCCGUCUUCACAGGCUGUUCUUUCCUAUGUCUGUUUCUCCAUGUCUCCAAAUCUCCCUAUCCUUAUACAGACCCAGUCAUUGGAUUUAGGGCUCUUCCCACUGCAGUAUGACCUCAUGUUAACUUGAUGACAUCUGCAAAGACCCUAUUUCCAAAUAAGGUUAUGUUCACAAGUACUCAGGGUUAGAACUUGAACAUACCUCUUUUGGGGGACACAAUUCAACCCACUAACCCCCAGUUAUCUCUCAGCUACCCAGCUAGACACACAAAUCAAAUAUGGCUGGAGUGUCCUAUCUUUUUGUUAACCUGAUUGGUCUAGGGCAGGUCAGCAAAAUUUUUCUGUAAAGAGCCAGAUAGCAAAUAUUUUAGGCUUUGUGAGCCAUAUGGUCUCUGUCACCACUAUUCAACUCUGCUGUUACAGUGCAAAAGCAGCCAAAGACAAUAUGUAGAUGAUUGGGCUUGGUUGUGUGCCAAUAAAAUUUUAUUUAUGGACACUGAAAUUUUAAUUUCAUAUCAUUCUCAUGUGUCACAAAAUAUUAUCCUUCUUCUGAUUUUUU